rnacentral:rRNA from 1 species
UACGUAGGGGGCUAGCGUUGUCCGGAAUCAUUGGGCGUAAAGCGCGUGUAGGCGGUCCGGUAAGUCCGCUGUGAAAGCCAGGGGCUCAACCCUUGGAUGCCGGUGGAUACUGUCAGGCUUGAGUACGGAAGAGGCGAGUGGAAUUCCUGGUGUAGCGGUGAAAUGCGCAGAUAUCAGGAGGAACACCAAUUGCGAAGGCAGCUCGCUGGGACGUUACUGACGCUGAGACGCGAAAGCGUGGGGAGCAAACAGG